rnacentral:misc_RNA from 1 species
UAACUCAUAUUUCCUUGCUACUUUUUGAACAGAAUUUCCACAAUGGAGAACAACGAAGCCCCCUCACCAUCCGGCUCCAACGCAAACGAUUUUCCUAUACUUCCGCCGCCGCCAAACGCCUACAACAACAACUUCGCCGACACGAACAAUAGCAACAACAAUGCCGCCGCCCAGAAGCGCCUGCAGCAGACACAGGCCAAAGUGGACGAGGUGGUGGGCAUAAUGCGCGUCAACGUGGAGAAAGUGCUGGAGCGGGACCAGAAACUCUCGGAGCUGGGCGAGCGCGCCGACCAACUGGAGCAGGGUGCCUCUCAGUUCGAGCAGCAGGCGGGCAAGCUGAAGCGCAAGCAAUGGUGGGCCAACAUGAAGAUGAUGAUCAUUCUCGGAGUGAUCGCAGUGGUACUGCUCAUAAUCGUCCUAGUGUCGCUUUUCAAUUGAUCAAAACAUACACAAAAAUUAUAAAAUUCCGUUUUCUAUAUGUACAACAAAGCUAAGGUUCAUUUAUGUCAUUAUAUACACACACACGCACGUGUACAGUGUAGAUGUAUGCAUGUAUAUUGUAUAUUAUAUUAAGCUAAGCAACUCCAAAAAACUAAAGUCUCGGUCUGGCCAGAAAGCAGUGGCAGCAGCGGUGGAGGAGCCAAGUCCAUUACCGAACCCAAGACCGUUACGGAAACACCCCCUCAC